UAUCUUAAUAAUAUAAUAAAAUUAUAGCACAUUUUCAAUGUGCCAAUGGGUGGCAGUCUCUUAAGAUAA
rnacentral:tRNA from 1 species